rnacentral:rRNA from 1 species
AGCUCCGAAAGCGUAUAUUAAAAUUGUUGCAGUUAAAAAGCUCGUAGUUGGAUUUCUGGUCGCCUGCGCGCUACCCGGCUCCGUAAGGAGUGUGUGUGUUGGCUGUGCGGGUGCCAUCCUUCUGGUACUCGUUUCUCAACUUCGCUGUUGAGAUAUUGAGACCCAGAUCUUUUACUUUGAAAAAAUUAGAGUGUUUAAAGCAGGCUUACGCUAUUGAAUACAUUAGCAUGGAAUAAUAAUUUAGGACUUUUGUUCUAUUUUGUUGGUCAUAGAACUAGAGUAAUGAUUGAUAGGGAUAGUUGGGGGUGCUAGUAUUUAACGGCCAGAGGUGAAAUUCUAUGAUCCGUUAAAGACUGCCUAACGCGAAAGCAUUCACCAAGGAUGUCUUCUUUA